UACGGAGGGUGCAAGCGUUAUCCGGAUUUACUGGGUUUAAAGGGUGCGCAGGCGGAUAUGUAAGUCAGUGGUGAAAUCUCUGGGCUUAACCCGGAAAUUGCCAUUGAUACUAUAUAUCUUGAAUGCUGUGGAGGUAAGCGGAAUAUGUCAUGUAGCGGUGAAAUGCUUAGAUAUGACAUAGAACACCUAUUGCGAAGGCAGCUUACUACGCAGAGAUUGACGCUCAUGCACGAAAGCGUGGGGAUCAAACAGGAA
rnacentral:rRNA from 1 species